GGAAGGACAUCGUGGGAGGCUGGAGGAGCCGGGAGGGAGGAGGGGCGGGGGCGGGGCGCAGCCAGCGCGCUGUCACGUGACGUGCGUGACGCCGUGUCGGCCGUCUCGUGUUGUUGAGGCUGAGGACUGGCGUGUUUCGAGAGUCUUCCCUGUCCCGGACCGCAGGAAACCGGCGACUCGGUCUCACUCCCUUUGCCCGGCUCCGCUCUGCCGCCCUGCCUGGCUCUCCUGGGCCUGCCGCCUGCUCUGGCGUCCCCUCCGCUCCGGCCCGACCCGACCCGACCCAGCCGCAUGGACACCCCCAGGCCGCCCGGCAGCCGCCUCGGCCGGCUGGGGCGUCAGGCUCCGAGCUCUGUCCAGCAGUGGGAGUAUUACAUCCCUCCCUUUCUCCAGCAUUGCCGAAGUAUGUGUUAGCAGACUAUUGUUACGGGAGAGAAGAAAUGUUAGCACUUUUCCUUAAAGACAACAAGAUCGCUUCAGACCUUCUGGAUAAAGAAUUUCUGCCUAUCCUACAGGAGGAGCCCCUCCUGCCACUGGCUCUUGUGCCCUUCACGGAAGAAGAGCAGGUGAUUCUUAACCAUCUGAGCCGCCACGGAAGCCCAAGAAUACUGGAGUGGGUAGCCUAUCCCUUCUCCAGGGGAUCUUCCUGACCCAGGAAAUGAACUGGGGUCUCCUGCAUUGCAGGUGGAUUCUUUACCAGCUGAGCUACUAGCGAAGUCCAAAGUCAGCCUAGUAAUUCUGUCUUUAUUCAUGAAACCCAGUAUCAUCUAGAGUCAUCAGAAAAUAUUUUCAUUGACCAAAAGGUGUUAUGGUUGUAAAGAAUACAUGGGAAAGGAAGGGUCCUAUUUCCAGUAAUUGCUGAAAAGUUCCUUUUCAAAAGUGGUAAAUUUCCUUUAAAAAAAUCUGACAUCUGGUUUAAUUUUUCUCAAAAAUAUUUUUAUUUUGAAGCAUGUCAAGUAAUAUAGAGAAUAUUAUUACAAAGAUCUGAGUAUUUUCAACUCAAAUACAUCUAAUCUUAAAAUAAUCUGUGUAUACCUUUGAAGAAACAAAAUUCCUCAUCCAUUUGAGACUGUCUGUGGUGUGCCCCUUUCUGCAUUCCCAGGAAUUACUAUGAAUCAGAUUACUUUCAUCAUUCAUGUUUUGAUAUUGUCAUUACAUAUUUGGGUAUCCAUAUGCUCCUAAGAGUUUUUUAAUAGGGUUAUAAAUGGUACAUGGACUGUAGGCUGCUAGGCUCCUCAGUUCAUGGAAUAUCCCAAGGAAGAAUACUGAAGUGGGUACCCACUUCCUUCUCCAGGGGAUCUUCCUGACCCAGAGAUUGAACCCAGGUCUCCCUCAUUGCAGGCAGAUUCUUUAAUAUAUAAGCCACCAGGGAAGCCCAUACUGAAGAUAGCUUACUGUAUAUUAUAUUCUGCAGCUCCUUCUUUCUUUGAGUAAUGCUUUUUAGAUUUCAUGUUCAUACACAUGGUUUCAGCUUGUUCAUCUCUGCUAUAUAAUAUUUCAUAUGUGAGAAAAAUCAGUAAAAUACUGACUCUUUUGCUGUAAAAGAUAUUCAUAUUGGUUGUAGAAGAUACAGAAAAUAGGAAGAGGGAAAUCUUAACCUAUAAACUGAGCAUGUAGAAAUAAUUACUUGUUAACAUUUAGUAUGUUUAAGCAAUUUAUUUUUGUGUGUGUAUCUUUAAUUGUCAAAAUACAUCUGUAAUACAGACCGAAUCCAACAGCAUAUCAGAAUUAAACACCAUGGCUAAGUGGAGUUUAUCCCCAGAAUUCCAGGGUGGUGCAGCAUAAAAUCAAUAUAACAUACCCCAUUAAUAGAAUGAAGAAAAGAAAAGCACUUAAUCACUUCAGUUGUCUCAGAAAAGGCAUUUGACGAAAUUCAACACUGUUUCAUGAUAAGCAAACUUAACGAACUAGGAAUAGAAGUGAACUUAGUAUAAUUAAGCAGAUUUAUGAAAAACGCAUAACCAACAUUAUAGUCAGUGAUGAAAGAUUGAAAGCUUUUCUUCUUAGAUUGGGAACAAGAUAGUGUAUCUGCUUUCACUACUGAUAUCGAACGUUGUAUUGGAAGUUUUAGCCAAGCUCUUAGGCUAAAAAGACAUAAAAAGGAUCCAGAUUGGAAGGGAAGAAGUAAAAUUACCUCUGUUCAAAGAUGACAUGAUACAGAAAAUCCUAAAGAAUCCAUAGAAUAGCUAUUAACACCAGUAAGUGAAUACAGCACAGUUGUACGCUUCAGAAUCAGUACACAAAAAUCAGUUGUAUUUCCAUACACUGUAUGCUUAGUCACUCAGUCAUGUCUGACUCUUUGCAACUCCGUGGACUGUAGCCUGCCAGGCUCCUCUGUCCAUGGCAGUUUUCCAGG